UACAGAGGUCUCAAGCGUUGUCCGGAUUGACUGGGCGUAAAGCGCACGCAGGCGGUUGCGCGCGUGGGGUGUGAAAUCUGGCCGCUUAACGGCCAGGCGCCAUCCCAUACGGCGCGACUGGAGUGAUGCAGAGGUCGAUGGAAUUGCCGGUGUAGUGGUGAAAUGCGUAGAGAUCGGCAGGAACACCCAGGGGGAAACCAGUCGACUGGGCAUCUACUGACGCUGAGGUGCGAGAGCGUGGGGAGCGAACCGG
rnacentral:rRNA from 1 species